GUUCUGGUGGCCCAGUAUUUAAGGCGUCGGUCUUGUAAACCGAAGGUCGGAGGUGAGAUUCCUCCCCAAAACA
rnacentral:tRNA from 1 species